rnacentral:rRNA from 1 species
UACGUAGGGGGCUAGCGUUGUCCGGAAUCAUUGGGCGUAAAGAGCGCGUAGGCGGCCAGAUAAGUCCGGUGUGAAAGUCAAAGGCUCAACCUUUGAAUGCCGCUGGAAACUGUCUGGCUAGAGUCCGGAAGGGGCGAGUGGAAUUCCUGGUGUAGCGGUGAAAAUGCGCAGAUAUCAGGAGGAACACCAAUGGCGAAGGCAGCUCGCUGGAACGGUACUGACGCUGUGGCGCGAAAGCGUGGGGAGCGAACAGG